rnacentral:rRNA from 1 species
GAAUUUUGGGCAAUGGGCGAAAGCCUGACCCAGCAACGCCGCGUGAAGGAUGAAGUAUUUCGGUAUGUAAACUUCGAAAGAAUGGGAAGAAUAAAUGACGGUACCAUUUAUAAGGUCCGGCUAACUACGUGCCAGCAGCCGCGGUAAUACGUAGGGACCAAGCGUUGUUCGGAUUUACUGGGCGUAAAGGGCGCGUAGGCGGCCCCACAAGUCACUUGUGAAAUCUCCGGGCUUAACUCGGAACGGCCAAGUGAAACUGUGGAGCUAGAGUGUGGAAGGGGCAAUCGGAAUUCUUGGUGUAGCGGUGAAAUGCGUAGAUAUCAAGAGGAACACCUGAGGUGAAGACGGGUUGCUGGGCCAACACUGACGCUGAGGCGCGAAAGCCAGGGGAGCAAACGGG